AUUGAACGCUGGCGGCAGGCCUAACACAUGCAAGUCGAACGGUAACAGGAAGAAGCUUGCUUCUUUGCUGACGAGUGGCGGACGGGUGAGUAAUGUCUGGGAAAUUGCCUGAUGGAGGGGGAUAACUACUGGAAACGGUAGCUAAUACCGCAUAAUUUCGCAAGACCAAAGAGGGGGACCUUCGGGCCUCUUGCCAUCGGAUGUGCCCAGAUGGGAUUAGCUAGUAGGUGGGGUAACGGCUCACCUAGGCGACGAUCCCUAGCUGGUCUGAGAGGAUGACCAGCCACACUGGAACUGAGACACGGUCCAGACUCCUACGGGAGGCAGCAGUGGGGAAUAUUGCACAAUGGGCGCAAGCCUGAUGCAGCUAUGCCGCGUGUAUGAAGAAGGCCUUCGGGUUGUAAAGUACUUUCAGCGGGGAGGAAGGGAGUAAAGUUAAUACCUUUGCUCAUUGACGUUACCCGCAGAAGAAGCACCGGCUAACUCCGUG
rnacentral:rRNA from 1 species